GUAUUCUCUCUUAUUUUUCUUGCGGGCAACUUCUAAUCAAUUCCAAAUCAUUUAGCACACGCAUGAGAGCUGACAGUAUGUUAAAGCUGUGGGGCUUUAAGACCGUUGCUGGCCAUAAAUCAGGGGCGUGACGGCGCACAAAAGGCAGCUGACAAAGCCCAAAAGCUGUGCGGCCGCUGUCCGAGCUGUCCAUCGAUACUUCUACGAGAUGCCUUAAUAAAAUCAUCAAAUUUGCCUGGAUCCAAUAUAAAAGGCUUUUGGCCAAGCCAUAAAAACUUCGUCGCUCGCAAUCCCAAUGCCAUUUUGAUAUGCCCCACACGCGCCACGGCUGAUAAACUGAACAGCGUUGGCCAUUUAUGGUCGCACAUGGUAGCCGGCACUCGAUACGUUAUAUAAGUGGCAUAAAUUUUGGUCAAGAGGUAGCCAGCUCUACGCGGCAGUGAAACAAUGGCGUAUUAUGACACCCGAAACUUGGUCACAUGUGCAUGUGGGCCAGGGAAAUCACUCUGUAAACAAUGUCCUACAUAUAUGAAAAAAUCGAUCUAUCUAUCAAGAAACACUUGAAACCGGCUCCAAAGCUUCAAGAGCUAUUCCUUUUUCAAAUCUGCCCCAGUGCUUUCUGAUUAUGGGUUCUCCCAUAAUACUAUUCUUAAAUUUGGAAACACUAUUUCCGUUUAAAACUCAUCAUAAAAUGCUAUUCCCCAAAAUCCAGCCAACAA
rnacentral:sRNA from 1 species